rnacentral:lncRNA from 1 species
CAGGCGCCGGUGAAGUAAAAAAAUAUAGCUCUCCUCGCUACAGUGCUGCUAUAGUGCACAUGUAGGAGGAGCCGGAGCACUCAAGGGCUCGGCUAAAGAGGCUCAUAGUCUCAUUAUCUACGUGAUGACGAGGCACACAGGGAAAAUGCGAGAAAAAUAAGGAAGCUGUGUUUAGUGUAAAAGUCUUAUUGAGACGUUUUCUUGCAUUGAAAAGGUGAGAUCCUAAAGGACUUAAAUAUCGUGGUUUCCUCCACUAUCCUAACUGCGUAGUGGGCGAUUUUUGCAGAUGUUUUACAGUGGCAUCAUUGCUAACAUGUUGAACGUAAGCUUCCAUAUAUAACAUUUGAAGCGGAAGCGUGACUGAAAUCAAUGCGGUUGAAUUGGAGAAAGGUUUGCUGUCUAGCUGAGAGAACGCGGGUCCGUUUGGAUUGUGCCGAUGCCAGCUAUGCCAAUCCAUCGGCGAGC